rnacentral:rRNA from 1 species
AUGAACGCUGGCGGCAUGCCUAACACAUGCAAGUCGAACGCGAAAGUCGCUUCGGUGGCGAGUAGAGUGGCGGACGGGUGAGUAACGCGUGGGAAUCUACCUCGUAGUGGGGGACAACCCGGGGAAACCCGGGCUAAUACCGCAUACGUCCUACGGGAGAAAGGGGGCCUCUGCUUGCAAGCUCUCGCUAUGAGAUGAGCCCGCGUCGGAUUAGCUUGUUGGUGGGGUAAAGGCCCACCAAGGCGACGAUCCGUAGCUGGUCUGAGAGGAUGAUCAGCCACACUGGGACUGAGACACGGCCCAGACUCCUACGGGAGGCAGCAGUGGGGAAUAUUGGACAAUGGGCGCAAGCCUGAUCCAGCAAUGCCGCGUGUGUGAAGAAGGCCUGCGGGUUGUAAAGCACUUUCAGCCGGGAAGAAAAGCCUGUGGUUAAUAGCCGCGGGUCAUGACGUUACCGGCGCAAGAAGCACCGGCUAACUCCGUGCCAGCAGCCGCGGUAAUACGGAGGGUGCGAGCGUUAAUCGGAAUCACUGGGCGUAAAGCGCGCGUAGGCGGCUUGAUAAGUCAGAUGUGAAAGCCCCGGGCUCAACCUGGGAAUUGCAUUUGAUACUGUCUGGCUAGAGUCUGGUAGAGGGGGGUGGAAUUCCAGGUGUAGCGGUGAAAUGCGUAGAUAUCUGGAGGAACAUCAGUGGCGAAGGCGACCCCCUGGACCAAUACUGA